AUCCAAUAACUCCAGGUAAAGUAAUACAUCAUCCUUUCUUCACUGGCAUCUCCAAGAAGUAGAUGAUGGGAAAAUAUGAGCAAAUCAUAUUGGUCUCGUCGAUGUUCUUCAUAGGAAGAAAUCUUGACACUGUCAAAUGAAACCAACAAUGAGAUCCUUUUGUGUAGCGCCACAUACAUAAUAUUUUUUAUAAAUGAACGACUCUCGUCAUCAAGACAGAAUGUGUCCGUAAUAGAUGAGAAGUAAUAAGGUAAGAGGUAAAAUAUGUACUGGUAAAUUCAAAUAAGGUGAGAGGAGAUAAAAGGACUAUGAAAGAUAAUAAUGUAGGAGUAACACACAAGCAUGCGUGCUAAACCUCUAACAUAUUCAUAGGAACAAUUUUAUAAUUUAUAACUACACAAUGACAUUGUAACAUAUAGCACAAUGAGUCAAUGACAUAGCAGUUGCAACAUUCGUUCUUUUUAACAUAUAACACAAUGGCAUUUUGACAUAGUAAAUUGAGCAUUCUUGAUUCUGUAACUCUUAGCACAAUGAAUUAUUAUCACAUAGCAAUUAAAGCAUGCUUGUUUUCAUAAAUUACAUAGCGAAUAAAAACCAAGGCAUGUGACUCUACCUAUGCGAGCACCCGCGAGGCCUAACAUACCACUUCUCCCCCUUUGACAACAAGUACCAAAAAGGGUGAAGGAAACUAAUGAGACCCAAAUGAUCACUCCUCAUCGAUGUUGUCAUCGUCGGGGACCCCCUGUGAGAAGAUGUCGGUCUCAGUCGGGAAGCCAAACUCAGGGAUCGGAGGAGCUAGAGGGAUAGGAUCAUCAUCGAUAGGUCUCCCACCUCAGGCACGAAGACGAGCCUUAUGCUGGUUGACCCUCGUUGUAUGACAUGACUCCAUGAUAGCAACAUUUAUUGCAUUGACAGUGCAGACAGUGAUGAUGGCCUUCUGGGACUGAACAAGGAAGCUAGCAAUGCGACCAAGGAGUUCCGCCAUUGGCCUUGCCUUUCGGGAAGGAGCCAUAGGUACAUUACCCUUGGCCUUGUCCCUUUUCUCUUCAUGUGGAGUCCAGAAUUGAUGAGCAACAGUAUCCUGUACAGGAAAGGAAGGGCAUCAUCAAUGAGAGGCAGCGAACGCUGUUUGUGCGGCCGAGGAGGCCAUCGCAAGUGAGUUCCUGUGGAGAGGUCGCGCGCCUCCUAUGCAGAUGCACUUCUUUCCGCUGCAAUUUCCGAUGAAUAACGAGGAGAAUGACAAGAUGCAACGCAUGGUGGCUAGCGGCCAUGAGUCUCCUAUGAUAUGCUGAUGGUUGAUCGAGGCGGCGGGUUUCAGGCAACAGAGGUGUGAUGCAGUCGGGAGGAGGUGGAGGGAAAAGGCAUGGCGAGAUCCACGUACCAGAGUUGAGGGGAGGUGGAGGAAUGGCGCGGCGAGUUCCUUUGAUGGCGCGCUGGUGGUGGGGAGAAGGGGAGCGGGUGAGAUUUUCGUUGGAUAGAAACGAAGCUGCCGAGGAU
rnacentral:lncRNA from 1 species